rnacentral:rRNA from 1 species
AUUGAACGCUGGCGGCAGGCCUAACACAUGCAAGUCGAGCGAGCGGCGGACGGGUGAGUAAUGUCUGGGAAACUGCCUGAUGGAGGGGGAUAACUACUGGAAACGGUAGCUAAUACCGCAUACCAUCAGAUGUGCCCAGAUGGGAUUAGCUAGUAGGUGGGGUAAUGGCUCACCGAGGCGACGAUCCCUAGCUGGUCUGAGAGGAUGACCAGCAACACGGGAACUGAGACACGGUCAAGAGGCCUACGGGAGGCAGCAGUGGGGAAGAGUGGACAAUGGGCGAAAGCCGGAUACAGCCAUGCCGCGUGUAUGAAGAAGGCCUUCGGGUUGUAAAGUACUUUCAGCGGGGAGGCGGUACCCGGAGAAGAAGCACCGGCUAACUACGUGCCAGCAGCCGCGGUAAUAC